CUGUAAUUUCAGAUUACUCCACAUUUGGUCCUCAUUUUACGUGCCAUGUAUGCAGAUUCUACUGACGUGGUGAAAUGAGGGACCAAAAGUGGAAGAAUCUGAAAUUACAG
rfam:Medicago truncatula strain A17 chromosome 1, whole genome shotgun sequence.